rnacentral:lncRNA from 1 species
CAAAUAAUAACCAGAUGCUCCGCAGGGCGCAGCUUUAUACGACCGCAGAGGUUGAACCCUGAACGGUUGGGGCAAGUAUGGACACAACAUUCAAGCUGGAUUCAGCUCUAAAUUUGGAUUGUGAUUAAAUAGUUGACACAGCAUAGGUUUCUGACACAGAAUGAAUGUAGUCUAAUGAACUAAAAAAAUUGUUUUUGCCUUUGAGCAAUUCACUAUGCUGUUGAAUAUUAAUCCUCUCAAAAAAAUGUUUGAAGAAAUUUUCUUUUUAUUUAUGAAAUCUGAAAUGAAAAAAAUUGACCCCCCCCCCCAAUUUUUUUUUUCACAUCCCCUUUUCCCUUAUUUCAAAACUGAUCUCAAUUCAAAUUUCUAAUGAAGUUUGCAACAAUAACUACUCAUUUAAGUACAUAUUAAAAUGUAAAAAAA